UACGUAGGGUGCAAGCGUUAAUCGGAAUUACUGGGCGUAAAGCGUGCGCAGGCGGCUUUGCAAGACAGAUGUGAAAUCCCCGGGCUUAACCUGGGAACUGCAUUUGUGACUGCAUUGCUGGAGUGCGGCAGAGGGGGAUGGAAUUCCGCGUGUAGCAGUGAAAUGCGUAGAUAUGCGGAGGAACACCGAUGGCGAAGGCGAGUCUCUGGACAUUUCCUAACGCUGAGGCACGAAAGCCAGGGGAGCAAACGGG
rnacentral:rRNA from 1 species